rnacentral:rRNA from 1 species
GAUGAACGCUGGCGGCGUGCCUAAUACAUGCAAGUCGAGCGAACGGACGAGAAGCUUGCUUCUCUGAUGUUAGCGGCGGACGGGUGAGUAAAACGUGGAUAACCUACCUAUAAGACUGGGAUAACUUCGGGAAACCGGAGCUAAUACCGGAUAAUAUUUUGAACCGCAUGGUUCAAAAGUGAAAGACGGUCUUGCUGUCACUUAUAGAUGGAUCCGCGCUGCAUUAGCUAGUUGGUAAGGUAACGGCUUACCAAGGCAACGAUGCAUAGCCGACCUGAGAGGGUGAGCGGCCACACGGUGAGUGAGGCACGGUCCAGACUCCUACGGGGGGCAGCAGUAGGGAAUCUUCCGCAAAGGGCGAAGGCCUGACGGAGCAACGCCGCGUGAGUGAUGAAGGUCUUCGGAUCGUAAAACUCUGUUAUUAGGGAAGAACAUAUGUGUAAGUAACUGUGCACAGCUUGACGGUACCUAAUCAGAAAGCCACGGCUAACUACGUG